ANCNGCGNGCGNNCCCCCUAUACAUGCAACCUCGAGCGGAUAGAGAGAAGCUUGCUUCUCUUGAGAGCGGCGGACGGGUGAGUAAUGCCUAGGAAUCUGCCUGGUAGUGGGGGAUAACGCUCGGAAACGGACGCUAAUACCGCAUACGUCCUACGGGAGAAAGCAGGGGACCUUCGGGCCUUGCGCUAUCAGAUGAGCCUAGGUCGGAUUAGCUAGUUGGUGAGGUAAUGGCUCACCAAGGCGACGAUCCGUAACUGGUCUGAGAGGAUGAUCAGUCACACUGGAACUGAGACACGGUCCAGACUCCUACGGGAGGCAGCAGUGGGGAAUAUUGGACAAUGGGCGAAAGCCUGAUCCAGCCAUGCCGCGUGUGUGAAGAAGGUCUUCGGAUUGUAAAGCACUUUAAGUUGGGAGGAAGGGCAUUAACCUAAUACGUUAGUGUUUUGACGUUACCGACAGAAUAAGCACCGGCUAACUCUGUGCCAGCAGCCGCGGUAAUACAGAGGGUGCAAGCGUUAAUCGGAAUUACUGGGCGUAAAGCGCGCGUAGGUGGUUUGUUAAGUUGAAUGUGAAAUCCCCGGGCUCAACCUGGGAACUGCAUCCAAAACUGGCAAGCUAGAGUAUGGUAGAGGGUGGUGGAAUUUCCUGUGUAGCGGUGAAAUGCGUAGAUAUAGGAAGGAACACCAGUGGCGAAGGCGACCACCUGGACUGAUACUGACACUGAGGUGCGAAAGCGUGGGGAGCAAACAGGAUUANAUACCCUGGUAGUCCCGNCNUAANCGAUGUCACUANCCGUUGGGACUUGAGUCUUNAGUGGNCACCUACNCAUAANUGACGCCUGGGAGUCGNCCCNAGGUNAACUCAAUANUGCGGGCCCCNANCGNGACUGGUUAUCANCACCNAAACUNCGGCUGNUCAUANCUCNAAGAGANCUCGACUNACGGCUCNGNUCNCCCGCGGAUUGGUANCCNCNNCUUCUUUCCCCUGGGCUAGANNGAACNAAGGGACAUUGCUCGGCNCCAGNGCAGUCCCGGAUCNNACCNCNCNGNACNNAAGGAUCCNCCC
rnacentral:rRNA from 1 species